UUUACAAUGGAGAGUUUGAUCCUGGCUCAGGAUGAACGCUAGCGGCAGGCUUAAUACAUGCAAGGCGAGGGGGCAGCAAUGUCACCGUCGUACGGGUGCGUAACGCGUAUGCAACCUACCUUCAACUGGGGGAUAGCCCGGGGAAACCCGGAUUAAUACCGCAUGAUACAUUUGGUUCUCAUGGACUGAUUUGUUAAAGAUUUAUUGGUUGAAGAUGGGCAUGCGUUCGAUUAGCUAGUUGGUGCGGGUAACGGCCUACCAAGGCUACGAUCGAUAGGGGAGCUGAGA
rnacentral:rRNA from 1 species